UUCCUUUGCUCUUCAAUCACCCAGUAGGGUUAUUCCCAUUUUAUAGUUUCUGCAAGUUGGCCAAGGUCACGGAGGAGACUCCUGUGCGUUCCACCGCUAUGCACAACUUUCUGUAACGCCAUCUGCGCGCCUAAGGUUGGCUGCGCUCUAAAUAUCCUGUUGCGUUCGUGCUAAGUCGCUUCAGUCGUGUCCCACUCUUCGCGAUCCUAUGGACUAUAGCCCCGCCAGGGUCCUCUGUCCAUGCGAUUCUCCAGUCAAGAAUACUGGAUUGGGUUGCCAUGCCCUUCUCCAAAGUAUCCUGAACCUGGCAUCCAGACCUCAACAAGAUGGUUGUUUUGAGACAUUCAUUUGCCAUCUUCUGGGUCAGCGGGCUCUCCGAAUAAAGUCGUAUUCCCUGACUCACCCGGUAACUUUGACAAGAGAACCCAAUGGCGUUUGAAAAGGUACAGAUUCUUUCCCUUUAGGAACUAACUAAGAAGAAGGGAUUGAACCUGGGCCUCCUGCAUUGGGAGCAUGGAGUCUUAGCCUCUGGACCACCAUGGAAGUCCCCUAAGCAGAAUUUGUUGGAUUGAAGGCUGUUAAGGUGUGAAUGACGACUGAGGAUGCAGAUGAAGAAGUCAGCAGAGGUCUAGUUUUUAAAGACUUGGCAGGCCAGGUAAAAUUUUAAGCAGGGUCUUGAAUGGGUGACUCACACAUAUCUGCAAUUCAGGUAGAACUCUCUGAUGGCAAGGUGAAGGAUGGUUUGCGGGGAAACCAAACUCAAGAUACUGUGACAAGCUCUGAAGCUAUUGCAAGGAUCCAGGCUGCAACUGAUGGAGGAAUGAAUGAAUGCAGAGCGGGAGAGGAUGGAGGCAAAUUUAGGAAACAUUUGGGAGGCUGCUAUUUGUUGAAUGAGGACAUUAACAAGGGUGGAUAGUGUGUCAUUGGGGAAGUUGUUUGUUUGUUUUUUUUUUUAAAGAAAACAGUAUGAAUAGGUUUGACAGUGGCUUAUGUGGACGUUUGAGGGAUAUUUUCAGUAGACUGAAUGUGAGGCUAAGUGAGAUGCUUUAAUCAAUAUCAUACAAUCAUAUAGCACAAAACUGGACAUUUUGUGAGAUUAUGUGAAAAUAAAUAUCAAAUGUACUCUAUAUCUGAAUGAUUCUCCUGUGUAAACAUAUUAAACUCCCUAUAAAUUUUAAGCUACUGAUAAAC